AAGCCAUCCUGAUCCUGCGUUGAAUCUUCAUCGUCGCUCUGGAAAAACAUAAUCAGGAAUUUCACUGGUAGCUAAGAUCUGUUAUUUUGGACAAUGAGUAGGCCUCAAGUGAGAUGGAAUGAAGACAACUUGUAUGAAAUUGAAGCCAAUAAACCA